rnacentral:rRNA from 1 species
CGGGAGGCAGCAGUGAGGAAUAUUGGUCAAUGGGCGCAAGCCUGAACCAGCCAUGCCGCGUGCAGGAUGACAGUUCUAUGGAUUGUAAACUGCUUUUAUACGGGAAGAAUAACCUGAACGUGUUCGGGGAUGACUGUACUGUAUGAAUAAGCAUCGGCUAACUCCGUGCCAGCAGCCGCGGUAAUACGGAGGAUGCAAGCGUUAUCCGGAUUUAUUGGGUUUAAAGGGUGUGUAGGCGGGGUAGUAAGUCAGUGGUGAAAGUCUGCAGCUUAACUGUAGAAUUGCCGUUGAUACUGUUACUCUUGAAUUCAGUUGAGGUAGGCGGAAUGUGUAAUGUAGCGGUGAAAUGCAUAGAGAUUACACAGAACACCGAUUGCGUAGGCAGCUUGCUAAACUGAGAUUGACGCUGAGGCACGAAAGCGUGGGGAGCAAACAGGAUUAGAUACCCUGGUAGUCCACGCCGUAAACGAUGAUUACUGGAUGUGUGCGAUACAC